rnacentral:lncRNA from 1 species
CUUCCUUUCUGGUCCUAUGCAAAGCUGAUCUUCAACUGCUGGUUGGUCUUACCCUACUUCAAUGGUGCUGCAUAUGUCUAUGAACAUUUUGUGAGGCCGUUGUUUGUCAACCAACAAACGGUAAACAUUUGGCAUUUCCCAAAGAAGAUGAACUUCUUCAGUAAACCAGAUGAUGUUUUAUCAGCUGCAGAAAGAUAUAUUGGAGAGAACGGACCAGAAGCAUUUGAAAAGCUCAUGAGCAAGUCUGAGAGGGUAUCGAAGCCCAGGAAUAACCGCCGUUCAAUUUUAGAGGAGGUGGAAGCUGAAAGAGGAUCAAAGUCCGGGAGUGAAAAUUAUACGAUCUUUGAUGGCGAUCAUCGAUACUAAAGCCAAGAUUUCUUAGUGUACGAGAGCAGGCGCGAUGAUGGGGUUUAUCAUCGGUCUCAGAAUGGACUCUUACCUGUCUUGACUUCAUGAGAUAGUUACUGUUUUGUUUUCUGUUUGAUAUAUCUGUUGUCCAAGAUGUCGAUGCAUUGUGAAUCAAGAACUCCCUUUCUUGUGAUUCUAGUCUAGAACUCAGUAUAUAUCCUCUUUAUGCUCAUGUAACUAUGUUGUGUUUUCAUGUAACUCAUAAUCAAUCCAGAUACUUGAUGCCCCUCCGCGGCUCUCCGAUGGCGGCCGAAGGUGGGCUCUCUCCCUCUCUUCCCCGCGCUCUCUCUGGUUCUCUUCUUCUUCCCCGGUUCCGACGGGGAAGAGCUUCCCGGUUCGUACUGCCCAGAGCACGGUACGAACCGGCCCGUACCGGUCCGGUAGGCAACCGGUACGCCUACCGGACCCGGUACGGUGGACCUUGGGUGUCACCUUUUUCAUCAACAAGGCAUCAACUGGGCUUAUAGAAAGAAAUAAUAUAGUACCAAGUAGAAGUGUAAUUUUAUAUGUAAACCUGUGAAAUCUAUCUCUUAAAUAACCCCACAAAACAUUUUCUUUACUACCAAGCCUCAUUUCAACUACUUGGAUUGACAGUCUUCUUCCCAUUGAUGCUUCUGGAGUGCCUAUUGUAGCUUGAGUAUAUUAUACAUGAUCGCUGGUCAAUCAAUUGCCAACCCUCCACUUUUUUCAUCUGUAUUUGUAACUAAUGGCAAUGUUGUUAGAACUAAGAAUUUCAUAGUAAGUGGUGGAAAUACCUGUGAUGUAGUGAACAUCGAUCUUGUUGUGGAUACAUGAUAAGAUCAUAUCAAACUAUCUUGCAUAGGUCUUUGUGCUUUUUUAAUACAUAUAACUGUUAUUUAUGCCCUUGUUUCAAAUCAUUAGGUACUCAUCCAGGACAACCACACAUGAAGUCAUCCCAUGUUAAGUUGUUGGCAUUUCCUUUAACCAAGAUUUUUAAAUAGAUUUUGGAAGUGUCCCUUGUAUCUGUAACAACUUUUCAUGCAGCCUGAGAACUUGCUGAUGCUGGUGUUGAACCCAUGCAAUCAGAGAUGAAAAUCUACAUGAAUCGAGCUUUUGAGAUAAAUUGUAAUCUUAGAGCCCACAAUUUGAACCCAGCCACAAAUUUCAGAGCAUACCAGGUGCUGCAAUUUUCAGAGAGUAUUACAAUCCACUCUUGAAUACUCAUUAUAGAAAAUCCAAAAGGUGUCAGCUAUCACAAGGGGCUUAGGCAAGGUCAUUCCUUGUUGAACCAUUGUUAUUUAGAAGUAUAGCUGAGGUUUGAAAAGUAUGAUAUGUUGUCAGCUGCUAGAUGACCCUGGGUCUUAUAUAUGGCCUGCACUUGGAAUUGUCAUGUCUUGUGAUGUGCACCAAUUAGUUUACUUUAUGUUGGGCUGUGAAUCAAGAGAGAAUAUUUUUGAGGGUUCUGUAAAUCCAUCAUAGUUGAGUGGAUUUGAUGAUAGAAACCAAGUGAUGGUUUGUAUCAUUCAGUUUUUUCACAGUCAAAUAUUCGAGGCUGCUUUUUGUUUACUAUGUAUGGCUGGUUAUCUAAUUUCAUCUUAUGGAUGUCACACUUUGUGUCAUAUGUGUGGCAAGUUUAUUGAGAUGUAUACUAUAGGAUAGAAUCGGUUUCUCGUGCCACUGUUGGACUGGAAGCAGGUAUCAGAUUCUUCUCAGCAAUCAGGAUUUUUUACGUCCAACUGUCGAAGCAUCUAAAACUAACAAAUAAAAGAACAAGUUAGGGGUUCUUUUACAUUUUGACAAUGUUUUAUCUUAAACAUAUUGAAAAUUACAUGCUUCAUUUUUUAUAUCAGUUUUUCUUAUGUUCCUGACAAUUUUUUCUGUGAUUGAUUCACAGGCCUGUGGUGACACUUGCUUACCCUUUGUAAGUGGCAUUUGUAAUUGGAUUUUCCCACGAAGCAAUGGUGUCUCUUUUUUAUUAUUCUUAUAUUUGCACUUUCGUGGGAUUUUGACAGGUAUGCUUCAGUCAAGGCAAUAGAAACCAAAUCUCCUGUUGAUGAUCAGCAAUGGCUCACUUAUUGGGUCUUGUAUUCUUUUAUUACUCUGUUUGAAAUGACUUUUGCCAAAGUGAUUGAAUGGUAUGUUACAUUUCUGAUUUUUUCCCAAUUUAUCUCCAAUUUAUUUUCUUCUUGUUAGCGAUGCUUGAUAUUACUUGAUUUUUCAUUUAUCAUUACUCAAGUAUGAUCUUUGAUUGUGAUAUAAUGUGUCUUCAUCACUGAGGGCUGAGGCAAGGUGCAAAUCAUAAUAUAAAACAUUGAUUAGCUUAAAGUAAUCAUAGUUUACCUCCACAAUGUGAGAAAUGGGUUAUCAUUAGUUAUCCAUAUAUCUCGAGUGCAGAAAAUAGUGUAUUUAAUUCUUGCCAAAUAAUGAAGUUGUGAUAUGCAGGGACUAUGAAGUAAAUUAAACACUAUAUAAUUCUGUACAUAAGCGUCAGUUAUGGGGAUGAACUGGGAGGUCCAUUCUAAGGUUAUAAUUUCAUCAUUCACAUGACAAGCUGUACAUUAGNNNNNNNNNNNNNNNNNNNNNNNNNNNNNNNNNNNNNNNNNNNNNNNNNNNNNNNNNNNNNNNNNNNNNNNNNNNNNNNNNNNNNNNNNNNNNNNNNNNNNNNNNNNNNNNNNNNNNNNNNNNNNNNNNNNNNNNNNNNNNNNNNNNNNNNNNNNNNNNNNNNNNNNNNNNNNNNNNNNNNNNNNNNNNNNNNNNNNNNNNNNNNNNNNNNNNNNNNNNNNNNNNNNCCUCCUCCUCUCUCUCUCUCUCUCUCUCUCUCUCUCUCUCUCUCUCUCUCUCUCUCGUGUUCAUUUCUCUCACUGUCUCUCUUCAGAAUAUCAUUUAAUUUGAAUAAGAAAUUAUCUUUCAUAUUGCAUGUUAGAUGACAAUUUUGGGGAGAUUUACAUGGUCCAUAGUCAUGCUUGCAUCUAAUUUCCAUAGAACAAAACAAAGGAUUAAAGUAUCGCAUGUUGGUGCUGUGCCAGCGUAGCCCUGACUAUGUAUUGUGUCAUGUUGUGCCAGUGUUUGGCAUGCAGAUGCACUGCCAGCAUGUCAAUUAACGGCUUCAUGCCAAUAAGGCACCAGAACAUUAUGGGCCAAGGCACUACGAUCUAUGCGAUUAUGUCUUGCUUCUCAUUAUUUAUUUUAUUGUGGUAAUUUGUUUUUUAUUCUUCUAUGAUGUGCUUGCACCUCUCAUAAAAAAUGACAAUUUUUAGCAGUACAAUUUGAUUUUUGGCAUCCUGCUUACAUUAAUUUCAUGCAAGACUUAGUCUCAUGCUUUAUCUGUGCUGCAAUUCACAUAUAUUUCUUGCAGGCUUCCUUUCUGGUCCUAUGCAAAGCUGAUCUUCAACUGCUGGUUGGUCUUACCCUACUUCAAUGGUGCUGCAUAUGUCUAUGAACAUUUUGUGAGGCCGUUGUUUGUCAACCAACAAACGGUAAACAUUUGGCAUUUCCCAAAGAAGAUGAACUUCUUCAGUAAACCAGAUGAUGUUUUAUCAGCUGCAGAAAGAUAUAUUGGAGAGAACGGACCAGAAGCAUUUGAAAAGCUCAUGAGCAAGGUAGGCUUGAUCAGGUUCCAUGAUACCAAAGACUUUAGCUUAUACUCCUUUUGGAUGCAUUUGUUUUAAUUUAGCCAUCAGCUUUGUUGCAAAUUUGUGUGUUCUGCUAUCUGAUGUGAGCUUCUUGUGCUACAAUUUCUGUCGGUUCCUACUGCACUAAAACAUUCUUUUGUUACAUGCUUGUUCGAUUGUCUGUUACAAUCUUUCAAAUCAAUAUCUCAGAUAUCAACUCUUGGUGUUGGCUUACCUAAGGCAGAAACCUGAAGCUGAACUUCUUCUAUGUACUAUAUACUUCUUUUUCUUCUAUAUUUCUUCUAAUUUCAACUUAUAACAGAACUCAGAUUAGCCUUCUUGUGUCUAGCUGCUUCUUUCUAUUCUAUAUAAGUUUUUUCUUGCCUACAUUGAAAUUGUAAAGCGAGUCACCACUCUUUAUUAUUUAUUUGAUGCCAAAUUGUAUGUUUGCUGGUAAGUCUCUUGCAAAGUCGAGUAUUUCCUUUGUAGUUUGUAUAGUAACUCAAGUUGUUGCCAAUCCCAAAUAAUUGGGGAAAACAGCUGGAUGGUUAUGGUAUGCAGUAACUCAAGUUGUUGUUUUGAGGCAGAAAUUUGAACCUGAAAUCACAACAUUCAAGGAGAUAUCUCCUGUUCCUAUUUCUAGUACUGAGCCCCCUUCCCCCUUCUAAAUGUCGUUGAGUUUUUUGAAUAAUUUAUAGAUGUUGUUAUAAACCAGUGACAAAAGAGCUACUCCUUUUCUUUUGUAGAACGGCAACAUCUUUUUGCUGUGGCAUUUCUCCAAAUCAGAAAUACAGUAUUUAAUCAUGGUUUUAUUUUUGUGUUUCCCUCUAUUGUCACAUAGAUUGGCAGUAUGGAUUUUUUAGCUCUCAUCAGAUGGAGGAUACUUACUGGAUCAAAUGUCGUGUUUUGCAGUCUGAGAGGGUAUCGAAGCCCAGGAAUAACCGCCGUUCAAUUUUAGAGGAGGUGGAAGCUGAAAGAGGAUCAAAGUCCGGGAGUGAAAAUUAUACGAUCUUUGAUGGCGAUCAUCGAUACUAAAGCCAAGAUUUCUUAGGUGAGCUGAACAAAUACACUGAUCCUAUUGUAUUAACUAGGAAUAACCUUUUGCAUACUUCACUUCCUUUUUAUUUUUUUAAUUAUUAUUAAAUACAUUAUGAAUAUAUGACAAUCGAGUUCGCUCAACAGUGUACGAGAGCAGGCGCGAUGAUGGGGUUUAUCAUCGGUCUCAGAAUGGACUCUUACCUGUCUUGACUUCAUGAGAUAGUUACUGUUUUGUUUUCUGUUUGAUAUAUCUGUUGUCCAAGAUGUCGAUGCAUUGUGAAUCAAGAACUCCCUUUCUUGUGAUUCUAGUCUAGAACUCAGUAUAUAUCCUCUUUAUGCUCAUGUAACUAUGUUGUGUUUUCAUGUAACUCAUAAUCAAUCCAGAUACUUGAUGAAACUUCAAGUAGUUUGUUUGUGCUCCUGUCUCCUUCAUCACAGUGCUUUGACCUCUAAAAGCACUGUUUUUGUUCCAAUAACUUGCUCCUUAUGGAAAAAGAACCCAAGGUGAAUGACUAUUUGAUAGAUGCAAUGAAGAAAA